GGCGCUCUGGUUUAGUUGGUUAAAGCGCCUGUCUAGUAAACAGGAGAUCCUGGGUCCAAAUCCCAGCAGUGCCU
rnacentral:tRNA from 1 species